GACGUAGGGCGCGAGCGUUGUCCGGAUUUAUUGGGCGUAAAGAACGCUGCGUGAGCGGCUUGUCGCGUCGACUGUGAAAUCCCGCGGCUCACCGCGGGUCUGCAGUCGAUACGGGCAGGCUAGAGUUCGGUAGGGGAGACUGGAAUUCCUGGUGUAGCGGUGAAAUGCGCAGAUAUCAGGAGGAACACCGAUGGCGGAAGGCAGGUCUCUGGGCCGAUAC
rnacentral:rRNA from 1 species